GACGAACGCUGGCGGCGUGCUUAACACAUGCAAGUCGAACGAAGUGGCGAACGGGUGAGUAACGCGUAAUCACCCUGCCCUUCAGCUGGGGACAACAGUUGGAAACGACUGCUAAUACCGCAUCCUGAAGAAGUGGAUUGCGUCUGAUUAGCUAGUUGGGAGGGUAACGGCCAACCAAGGCGAUGAUCAGUAGCCGGGCUGAGAGGAUGAACGGCCACAUUGGGACUGAGACACGGCCCAGACUCCUACGGGAGGCAGCAGUGGGGAAUCUUCCGAAAUGGACGAAAGUCUGACGGAGCAACGCCGCGUGAGUGAUGACGGCCUUCGGGUUGUAAAGCUCUGUUAAUCGGGACGCGGUACCGGAAUAGAAAGCCACGGCUAACUACGUGCCAGCAGCCGCGGUAAUUC
rnacentral:rRNA from 1 species